UACGUAGGGGGCAAGCGUUGUCCGGAUUUAUUGGGCGUAAAGAGCGUGUAGGCGGCUUGGUAGGUCAGCUGUGAAAACUCGAGGCUCAACCUCGAGAUGUCGGUUGAAACCACCUGGCUAGAGUCCGGAAGAGGAGAAUGGAAUUCCCGGUGUAGCGGUGAAAUGCGCAGAUAUCGGGAAGAACACCCGUGGCGAAGGCGGUUCUCUGGGACGGUACUGACGCUGAGGAGCGAAAGCGUGGGGAGCGAACAGG
rnacentral:rRNA from 1 species